CCUAUUUAUUUUGGUGUUAUGUGGAUCUGAAAAUCAAGAAGCCGAACGAAGGAACACAAAUUUAUAUUAGAUCUGAAAGAAAAGAGAAGAGUUUUAGGUUUGUGGGAGAAGAAGAAGAUGAAGAAGAUGAGGCGCAGUUGUCCUCUUCACUUGAAAUCAAAUUCAAGACCGCUUUGCCUUCCUUUUCAGUACAUUCCAUUUCGAAUGGAAACAGUGCUUUGCUAUUUUCAUUUUUAAAAUAGACAUUGGGCUUCUUCUUGUUCCUCUUUUUUCCUUCCAAUUCCGAUUUGGUCCUAAUGCCUAUUUUAAAAUGAAAACAAUGAUACACUGCUUUUGUUUGAAACUAUUGUUAAGGAAGAUAACGCCGACGAGUUCUUCAAUUUGAUUUUAGCUGACGAGGACUUUUUUAUUCAUCCACAGUCUCUGAAUCUGUACGACUAAACAAGCAAAGAAAAACACGGAGAACAAAGGAUGGACAUCCUGUAUUAUUGGACAAUAACAUAACAUGAGACAUAGUCAUCUUGGCUUCUCUCCUCCGCGCCCUCUCUCUCACUGGAACCUGACAUCUAUUACCUGCUUGUUGCCACCUUCGUUCAAUCGUUCUGCUCAACACUAUUCUUCUUGGCAUGUGUUGGCAGUGUUCGAUUUGCAGGGUUUAUGAAUUUGGUGGCGGGAUGGCGUAUUAUAACAUGUGGACGCUACGAAUGCAGAAUACGUGGAGAACAUGUGAGAAAUUUCAGACAUCUGUGGAAUUUCAAAGUUGGCCGGAUUUCGUUUUUUGAACUGGUUAAUAUUUGUUGUCUUUUGGAGCAGAGAAAAAUAAAGCUGUGAAAAAAGGUUAAACAUUAUCGGGGAAGAACUGGGUCGUGCGGCGAUUCCGUAGUUGAGGGUGUGAUUGUCGGUGGAAGUUACUUUUUUGGGCAGAUCCGUUGGCUGAGGAAGGUACAGAGCAAUCGUAGAGGAGGUGGCGGCGCAACUGACGGAGUAGUAGUUGGGUGGCGGGCGCGGAUCUGCGGCGGAGGAGGUGACGGUGCAACUGAUGGAGUCGUGGUUGGGUGGCCCGCGUGCGGAUCUGAAGGAAGGAAGUGGUGGCGCCAUAAGGAGGAAAAUGGGUUGCCGAAUUCUUAAACAUUCAAGGAGGGACAACACAGUCUUUCAAGCUUGAGGCAAAAACGUCAUUUCAUAUUUCUUAUUAAUUUAAUAAAUAAACAAAGAAAUACGUCACCAUCAAAUGACAGUCCAAUCUUUUUUACCGUUCACAUUUAAAUACUAUAUAUCCAACGGCUGAUAACAAACUUCCUCAUCCAUGGACCACUUUCAACAAACUUCAGCAAAGUUUUCCACCUGUUCACCACUUGGUUGGUGGUUCACCCUAGAUUUCCACAAGAAUAUAUUGCGGUUGUGAUGAGUCCAAAAGCCUGAACAUUACCACGCCUUGAGUUUGUCUCAAAUUUGUUGAAAUCUUAGCUUAGAGGUUUGCUGAGAAAUUUCAUGUCAUUUGUUGUGGCAUUUUAAUUUGAUAAACCUUGUGCCUAAAUCUGAUAAAUUCCAUGUCGUGCCAUUUGGAAAAUAUAUGGUGAACAACUUUAUAUUUAUAUUCGUUCAUUUCUUUCUACAAUGCUCUCACAAAGUCACAGCUAGAUUUGAUUUGUGCUUCUCUUGAGAAAUCAUUGCAAAUUAUUCUUGUCAGAGAUAUCGUAUGGUAAAACUUUCUGGGAUGCUUCAACUGAUACCAUAUAACCAAAACAAGUGAAACACCAUUGAUGUAUUAAGAAAGUAGCUUUCAUAUUUGUGACUUGGCCGAACCCUUUAGGAUUGUCUGCAAGUUAAUUUUUAUAUAUUUCUUGUGUAUUGCAGAAAUUUUCACUAAGAUUUUUUCAUCAAACAAAUGAGAUGAUUGAUGUCUAUAAUACCUCCUCUUUACCUUUGGUUUCUUAAAAGAUGAUAUUCCGACUGAAUUUAUAGUCAUUUCAGUUGUCUGUCUCCUCACAAGGGCUGCUAUUUUUUUGUGGAUAAUGCAAUUGAAUCUGGAAUGUAACUUCUGCUCUGUGAUGUAUUUCCUUGGAGAUAGUCCUGUUUCUCCCUUCUUGAAAGUGUCGGUGGAUGAAAGCAUGCAUGACAAAAGUACUCGUGGAAAAACUGUUGUAUCUUUUGAGAAAAUUUCAUGCAUCCAUGUUUUCUUAAAAUAGUUCGAUCUUUGAAUGUAUUGCUGCAGCGUAUUUUUUCAUUUCCCAUUUAUGUACAAUGGGAAUCUGUCCUUGGUUCCAGUUUUACUUUUUUAGUGAUUUAAAAUAUUUGAUUUGGCCAUUAAUAUACACUUUUUCAUGCCAAGUUGACCUAUUCUGAUGCGCUAUUUCUUAGAAAAAAACACUACUAAUCGCAUGACCUAUUCUGAUGUACUAUUUCUUAGAAAGAAACACUUCAUUAGAA